CAGAGUUGCAAAACUCCACUAAACCAUUGUGAAUCUACCCGUUACCGGUUGCCUUCGGCGGGCGGUCCGAAGGCCCUCGGCCCCCGGAUCCUCGGGUCUCCCGCUCGCGGGAGGCUGCCCGCCGGAGUGCCGAACCUAAACUCUUGAUAUCUUAGUGUCUCUCUGAGUAAUUCUUUACUGAAUAAGUCA
rnacentral:misc_RNA from 1 species